GAACGGGUGAGUAACACGUGGGUGAUCUGCCCUGCACUUUGGGAUAAGCCUGGGAAACUGGGUCUAAUACCGAAUAGGACCACGCGCUUCAUGGUGUGUGGUGGAAAGCUUUUGCGGUGUGGGAUGGGCCCGCGGCCUAUCAGCUUGUCGGUGGGGUAAUGGCCUACCAAGGCGACGACGGGUAGCCGGCCUGAGAGGGUGACCGGCCACACUGGGACUGAGAUACGGCCCAGACUCCUACGGGAGGCAGCAGUGGGGAAUAUUGCACAAUGGGCGCAAGCCUGAUGCAGCGACGCCGCGUGAGGGAUGACGGCCUUCGGGUUGUAAACCUCUUUCAAUAGGGACGAAGCGCAAGUGACGGUACCUAUAGAAGAAGCACCGGCCAACUACGUGCCAGCAGCCGCGGUAAUACGUAGGGUGCGAGCGUUGUCCGGAAUUACUGAGCGUAAAGAGCUCGUAGGUGGUUUGUCGCGUUGUUCGUGAAAACUCACAGCUUAACUGUGGGCGUGCGGGCGAUACGGGCAGACUAGAGUACUGCAGGGGAGACUGGAAUUCCUGGUGUAGCGGUGGAAUGCGCAGAUAUCAGGAGGAACACCGGUGGCGACGGCGGGUCUCUGGGCAGUAACUGACGCUGAGGAGCGAAAGCGUGGGGAGCGAACAGGAUUAGAUACCCUGGUAGUCCACGCCGUAAACGGUGGGUACUAGGUGUGGGUUCCUUCCUUGGGAUCCGUGCCGUAGCUAACGCAUUAAGUACCCCGCCUGGGGAGUACGGCCGCAAGGCUAAAACUCAAAGGAAUUGACGGGGGCCCGCACAAGCGGCGGAGCAUGUGGAUUAAUUCGAUGCNACGCGAAGAACCUUACCUGGGUUUGACAUGCACAGGACGCCGGCAGAGAUGUCGGUUCCCUUGUGGCCUGUGUGCAGGUGGUGCAUGGCUGUCGUCAGCUCGUGUCGUGAGAUGUUGGGUUAAGUCCCGCAACGAGCGCAACCCUUGUCCUAUGUUGCCAGCGGGUUAUGCCGGGGACUCGUAGGAGACUGCCGGGGUCAACUCGGAGGAAGGUGGGGAUGACGUCAAGUCAUCAUGCCCCUUAUGUCCAGGGCUUCACACAUGCUACAAUGGCCGGUACAAAGGGCUGCGAUGCCGUGAGGUGGAGCGAAUCCUUNNNAAGCCGGUCUCAGUUCGGAUCGGGGUCUGCAACUCGACCCCGUGAAGUCGGAGUCGCUAGUAAUCGCAGAUCAGCAACGCUGCGGUGAAUACGUUCCCGGGCCUUGACACACCGCCCGUCACGU
rnacentral:rRNA from 1 species